rnacentral:rRNA from 1 species
AUUGAACGCUGGCGGCAUGCCUUACACAUGCAAGUCGAACGGCAGCACGGGAGCAAUCCUGGUGGCGAGUGGCGAACGGGUGAGUAAUAUAUCGGAACGUGCCCAGUCGUGGGGGAUAACGCAGCGAAAGCUGUGCUAAUACCGCAUACGAUCUAUGGCUGAAAGCGGGGGAUCGCAAGACCUCGCGCGAUUGGAGCGGCCGAUAUCAAAUUAGCUAGUUGGUGAGGUAAAGGCUCACCAAGGCGACGAUCUGUAGCUGGUCUGAGAGGACGACCAGCCACACUGGAACUGAGACACGGUCCAGACUCCUACGGGAGGCAGCAGUGGGGAAUUUUGGACAAUGGGCGAAAGCCUGAUCCAGCAAUGCCGCGUGCAGGAUGAAGGCCUUCGGGUUGUAAACUGCUUUUGUACGGAACGAAACGGUGAGCUCUAAUACAGUUUGCUAAUGACGGUACCGUAAGAAUAAGCACCGGCUAACUACGUGCCAGCCGCCGCCGUAA